AUCCCAUGGUGAGAACAUUGCCUUAACAACUCCUUGAAUCUUUCCCAAGCAUCAAACAAAGAUUCGCCAUCUCCUUGUCUAAAUGAAGUAAUCUCAUUUCUCAUCUU